GCAGCAGUGCCCUGUACUUGUCUUCCAGCAGCGAUGACGAAUUUGAAAUGUUUCUAGCUAGACUGAAAACUCCCAAAUCUGUUCCUAAAAAGGCAGAUACAAGUUUGAAAGACUUCAUUGAUGACUCGGAUGAUUUCUUCUUGGACUUGAAGAUGAAAAAGAGUACAACCAAGAGUGCAGGGAAAGAUCGUCAGACCCCGAAAAAGCUGAUGACUCCUGGAAAGAGAAACACUUGCUGCCAAGAAUUGCAGUAUCCA